GGUCGGGUAGAGAAUACCAAGGCGCUUGAGAGAACUCGGGUGAAGGAACUAGGCAAAAUGGCACCGUAACUUCGGGAGAAGGUGCGCCGGCUAGGGUGAAGGAUUUACUCCAUAAGCUCUGGCUGGUCGAAGAUACCAGGCCGCUGCGACUGUUUAUUAAAAACACAGCACUCUGCAAACACGAAAGUGGACGUAUAGGGUGUGACGCCUGCCCGGUGCCGGA
rnacentral:rRNA from 1 species